rnacentral:tRNA from 1 species
GGCCCUGUGGCGGAACUGGUAGACGCUGCGGACUUAAAAUCCGCUGACCUCACGGUCGUCUGGGUUCGACCCCCGGCGGGGCCACCA